rnacentral:rRNA from 1 species
UACGUAGGGGGCUAGCGUUGUCCGGAAUCAUUGGGCGUAAAGCGCGUGUAGGCGGCCCGAUAAGUCCGCUGUGAAAGUCCAGGGCUCAACCCUGGGAUGCCGGUGGAUACUGUCGGGCUCGAGUCCGGAAGAGGCGAGUGGAAUCCUGGUGUAGCGGUGAAAUGCGCAGAUAUCAGGAGGAACACCAAUGGCGAAGGCAGCUCGCUGGGACGUGACUGACGCUGAGACGCGAAAGCGUGGGGGAGCAAACAGG